rnacentral:lncRNA from 12 species
GAAAAAAAUUCUCUGCUUGUUUUCUUGCAGGGGGAACCCAAAAUGCUUCUCCCAUGGUAGAGUCCAAAGUUCUCCCUUCUGUGUGAGAGGCAUUCUGUAGUAGGGAAUCUUUAUGGAUUGCAUGUAGAUAUAAUAUUGUCUCUUGUACGAACUUUCUUGGAGGAAACACUUUAUUGUAUUUUAACUUGUUCCAGUUUAUAAGUGAGCUCCUUAAAAGCCUCAUAAAAAUGAACAAGAGUGAAGUUUCUCCUAAUACCAGCUUUAACUUCUGCAACUCUUGAGGGACCAAGAAAGAAUUUGCAUAGUUUCUGAUGGAGUGAAAACGCUUCUGGGCAAAUUAGAAGAUUAUUCUUUAGAUUUUUUCAUAUCUCCUUCCAUAAAGAGCCCAUACCAUAAUUAUGGAGUAAAUGCAAAAGGACAGCAUAUUUUUAAGGCUUUUGCAACCAAGAACUGAGGCUUAGGGUUGGGAGUAGUAUCCAUUCUUUCCUAUCCUUCCACUAUGGGCUACAGAAAACACAUGGAAAAAUAAUGGAGGUAGAGAACCUUAUUAUAUUUUCAUUCAGAAUGCCUCGCACAGCUUGGCCUUUCCUCUCCA